ACGAACGCUGGCGGCGUGCCUAAUACAUGCAAGUCGAACGCAUUUUCUUUCACCGUAGCUUGCUACACCGAAAGAAAAUGAGUGGCGAACGGGUGAGUAACACGUGGGUAACCUGCCCAUCAGCGGGGGAUAACACUUGGAAACAGGUGCUAAUACCGCAUAAUUCCAUUUACUGCAUGGUAGAUGGAUGAAAGGCGCUUUUGCGUCACUGAUGGAUGGACCCGCGGUGCAUUAGCUAGUUGGUGGGGUAACGGCCUACCAAGGCUGCGAUGCAUAGCCGACCUGAGAGGGUGAUCGGCCACACUGGGACUGAGACACGGCCCAGACUCCUACGGGAGGCAGCAGUAGGGAAUCUUCGGCAAUAGACGCAAGUCUGACCGAGCAACGCCGCGUGAGUGAAGAAGGUUUUCGGAUCGUAAAACUCUGUUGUUAGAAAAGAACAAGGAUGAGAGUGGAAAGUUCAUCCCUUGACGGUAUCUAACCAGAAAGCCACGGCUAACUACGUG
rnacentral:rRNA from 1 species